rnacentral:rRNA from 1 species
UGGGGAAUAUUGGACAAUGGGGGGAACCCUGAUCCAGCCAUGCCGCGUGUGUGAAGAAGGCCUUAUGGUUGUAAAGCACUUUAAGCGAGGAGGAGGGUACUGGUAUUAAUACUACCAGGUACUGGACGUUACUCGCAGAAUAAGCACCGGCUAACUCUGUGCCAGCAGCCGCGGUAAUACAGAGGGUGCGAGCGUUAAUCGGAUUUACUGGGCGUAAAGCGUGCGUAGGCGGCUAAUUGAGUCGGAUGUGAAAUCCCCGAGCUUAACUUGGGAAUUGCAUUCGAUACUGGUUAGCUAGAGUGUGGGAGGGGAUGGUAGAAUUCCAGGUGUAGCGGUGAAAUGCGUAGAGAUCUGGAGGAAUACCGAUGGCGAAGGCAGCCAUCUGGCCUAACACUGACGCUGAGGUACGAAAGCAUGGGGAGCAAACAGG